rnacentral:rRNA from 1 species
AACGAACGCUGGCGGCAUGCCUAACACAUGCAAGUCGAACGAGACCUUCGGGUCUAGUGGCGCACGGGUGCGUAACGCGUGGGAACCUGCCCUUAGGUUCGGAAUAACUCCCCGAAAGGGGUGCUAAUACCGGAUAAUGUCUUCGGACCAAAGAUUUAUCGCCUUUGGAUGGGCCCGCGUUGGAUUAGCUAGUUGGUAGGGUAAAAGCCUACCAAGGCGACGAUCCAUAGCUGGUCUGAGAGGAUGAUCAGCCACACUGGGACUGAGACACGGCCCAGACUCCUACGGGAGGCAGCAGUGGGGAAUAUUGGACAAUGGGCGAAAGCCUGAUCCAGCAAUGCCGCGUGAGUGAUGAAGGCCUUAGGGUUGUAAAGCUCUUUUACCCGGGAUGAUAAUGACAGUAACGUGAGAAUAAGCUACGGCUAACUACGUG